GGGGGUGAAAUGGUUUCGACGGGGAUAGUGGAGACUGGAUAAGCGAGCCGAAGCCCCGCGCUUCGUUAAAAGCGGGAAACGUCUAAAUAUAAAAGACAACUAUAACGCACUUCCCGUUGCUGCUUAAAUAGCGCAACGCGUCCGCCUGCAAAGACCUAUCGUUGCAGAUACGGGCGUCAUUUAGGAUAGGGAACGAACCAGCCAAAGCUUUGCGGCUGGCCGGAUCUAUGAAGCUACCGGACCUGUUGCCCCGCCGCCGGGGAAGCAGGAAGGGGAAUACUUGUACGGCGGCUGCGCUCGGAGAAAUUCUGGUUGACAGAUCUUCGGACAGGGGUUCGACUCCCCUCACCUCCACCA
rnacentral:tmRNA from 1 species